UGAAAUAGGCUUUCAAGUAAAGUGAUGGAACACAAUCCCUGGAGACAUUCUAAAUAAAGGAACAAUGGACUAGAAAGUGUUUUGCAGCGAGGAAUUCUGCAUUGAUGACUGGAGCUAGAAGGGGGCAGGGAAAUGGGACGAUGACCAGAUGUGGCCCAUGGCAAGGCCGUGCAUUGUGAAGGGAGGAGGAGGGUCUGAGAUCCGGGAGCCCUGCAGAGAGUUUGCUGAAGAGUGAAGAAAGGACGGCGUUAGUAAUGGGAUGAGGGAUACUGGAGUCCGAAUUAACAUAGCACACAGAGAGAUAUUCAGGAAAAUACAUCAUAUCUUGCACUUGGGUGGAAAAGAGCAGAAAUCCUUGGUUAACAGGAUUAUACGCAAUGGUGCAGAAAGCAUUCUCUAAAGAAAAAUCAGAGAGGAAGAAACACUGCAUGGAGAAUCCAAGAAACACUCUAAGAAUUGAAGUUAAAAUGUCGGAGGAGGCCUCGUAUGUCUUCUUCUAGGAGGACUCUCAGCUGAUGUUGGUUUUUUUAGUCUGUAUGAGCGAUGGACAAGCUGUCACUACCCAUUAGAUUUUGGGUGGUCCCAGGGGACCAUCCCAAGUUUGAGGAAAGUUGGCAAUGGAAAAAGGAGCAUCUGAUAGGAGCAGUCAGUGAAGUCCUUGGACAGCUACAAGAUAAAAGGACACAUGUCUCUCCAGGUGGCCUCCCUCACCUUGACAGUGUGAAUUAACAGCUUAUCUUCAUGGACAUGGGACAAGAGGAGACUGGAAAUCAUCUCCCACACCACCCUCUCCAAGACAAAUUCAUAUUUAACUUCUACUUCUGCUCUGUUGACUUUAUCCUAUGUAAAGUACAGAUUUACUGAGCACGAGACAAAUGCAUAACUGACUAUUUCUUUACCCUCUCCUUUUCACAUGCAAUAUGCAGAUUCAG
rnacentral:lncRNA from 1 species